rnacentral:rRNA from 1 species
CCUGAGAGGGUGAACGGCCACACUGGAACUGAGACACGGUCCAGACUCCUACGGGAGGCAGCAGUGGGGAAUAUUGCACAAUGGAGGAAACUCUGAUGCAGCGACGCCGCGUGAGUGAAGAAGGCCUUCGGGUCGUAAAGCUCUGUCCUAGGGGAAGAUAAUGACGGUACCCUAGGAGGAAGCCCCGGCUAACUACGUGCCAGCAGCCGCGGUAAUACGUAGGGGGCGAGCGUUGUCCGGAAUUACUGGGCGUAAAGAGUUCGUAGGCGGUCUGAUAAGUCAGAUGUGAAAGGCGUAGGCUUAACCUAUGUAAGCAUAUGAAACUGUCAGACUUGAGGUAAGGAGAGGAAAGUGGAAUUCCUAGUGUAGCGGUGAAAUGCGUAGAUAUUAGGAGGAAUACCAGUGGCGAAGGCGACUUUCUGGACUUAAACUGACGCUGAGGAACGAAAGCGUGGGGAGCAAACAGGAUUAGAUACCCUGGUAGUCCACGCCGUAAACGAUGAGUGCUAGGUGUCGGUUAGAAAUAAU